rnacentral:misc_RNA from 1 species
UGUGGGAGCGAGCCUGCUCGCGAUGGCGUUUUUUCAGUCACUUUGAUAUCGACUGACCUGACGUAUCGCGAGCAGGCUCGCUCCCACA